UCCUUCCUAGGCACCAGGAAAGCCAAGUGAUUAUUCAGAGUUGUUCGAUGAGCAUACGAACAGAAGGUAUUAUUCACCUAAAUUCAAAAACAGGUCUUUUGGACUGCAAAGACCUAGUCUAUCACAGACUACUUGACACAUCCACUGGAAGAUGCUGGAAUUGGCAUCAGAGACUGGCAGGAAUGCCCAGGAAUGGCUGCAGACGUUUUCUUCCUGAAAAUUCGUCAUAGAGAACUGCCAGUUGGAGCAGGUGCCAAGUUGGAUGUUCCUCUGACCCAGGAAGGUGUGCAGAGUGGACAGCAAAAGCGGUUCUAAGGCUCUUCCACCCUCUGAAGAGGACACAGGCAGUAUUACAGAAAGGAGACUCCUCUAAGGGGCCUGUGAGCUCAUCAGCAGUGGGAACAAACGGGCUCGCCGGACCUCUGGAAUCAGAAUCUCUGGGGGUAAGGUUGAGGAACUUUUUUUAACAAGUUCUUCAGGCCAUGAGUAUGCACAUUAAAGUGUGAAAACCAUCAGGUUACAGGAAGAAUUUCAGAGGUGGUGGAGUGUGUUCACUUUUGGGGGCAAGAAAGAAGAGAGGGAGUAAGCCCCUGGACACGUGAGACUCCAGGGUUGCACCUGAGGGGGUGUUACAAUUUCCGAUGAGGUGGCACUCAGGAUCCCAGCCCAGCAAAGCCUUUUCCUGCCGCAUGCCACUCACAGCAGGCUGGGAAGCAGUGCAUAGACAGUGGGAGCGGCAAUGUGUUCACUGAGGCUGCCAACCAGAAGCCCCUGCCGAAACCCCCAGCCCUGACCUCUGGACCCCAUUGGGGCCUAUCACCUUUUGAGGGACCGCUAUACUGACUGAGACACCCCUCGUAGGAUGGAUCUCACAGAUCAAUUUAUUUCUAUUAAAAACAAGGUGGGCAUGAUGGCUUAUGGUCCCAGCUUGUUGGGAGGCUAUGACAGGAGGAUUGCUUGAGCCCAGGAAUUUGAGGCUAUAGUGCACUAUGAUUGCACCUGUGAAUAGCCACUGCAGUCCAGCCUGGGCAACACAGUGGAAACGAUGACAAAAUAUACCACCACCCAAAAGAAUAAGGAACUGGAGAAUUCUCGUACACCUGAGAUUGUAGACUGAGAAUCUUACCCACUACGCGUAUUACGAGGUCAGUAAAUAAGACAACAAACCAUUUUGAUGAAUACAAAAUUCUUCAAUUGCAAGUUGUGAAUGACACAUGCCAUUCUAUAUCAGCCUCGCCCUUUAAAGCGCUUCUUUAUUGGAGGCUGUUUUUGCGUAUUAUGAAGGAAACCCUCAUUCAUACUCAUAGGUAAUACUGUGUUCAGCAGGAGGAUGUGAUGAGCCAAAUACAGAAUGUGGGAAAUUAUACAGGACAAAUCAUCCAGUUUCUUCCUUUAAAAACUGAAAAGAAAAAAAACCUAUAAAUAAAGGAAACUUGAGAGACAUUUCAACCAAAUGCAAUGUGUGAAUCUUCAUCCAAACAAAAUGUAAAAUAACAUUCAGGAGACAAUCAGGGGAAAUUCGUGUGC